CUAAGGUAUCACAGUCUAUUAUAUUACUUAAUUCUUUUUAAUUGAUAUAGUAUUCUUUGUAACCUAUGACCCAUUUUUACUAAUAUUGACUCACUUCAAAGAUGCUUCCAUGCAGCUCAAACUAAAGCAUAGCAAAGCUAGAACACAAAUCCUUGAUUUCAAGAUAAAAGGCAAAAACGGGCUGAACAUUGCACUCUUCCCAGAUGAUGUAGCUGGAAGAAGACAUAAAAACCGAGAAUACAAUCUUUUCUGUGAGUUUCUAGAAUUCCAGGGGGAUGAAGAAGAAGGAGGAGGAGGAGGAGGAGGAGGAGAAGAAAAGAAGAAGGAGGAGUAAGAAUACGGGGACCAUGAGAACUCAUUGUAAACGAGGACAACUUCAUUGAGAAAGUCACUACACAGGAGUCACCUUCAGAUAAUUUUGAUACCCACAGUAUAAUGCUGGUGCAUUACUGCUGCAUUGUCAUUCCUUGGACAAGGACUACAAAGAAGAAGCAACGUUUCUAUUUUCCAGGAUCUGCACAAAUAACCCUGCACAUCAGCAGUACUCAUCCUGUUUCCUCGAUGAGGCAAUGAGACCCAGAUGGUUUUAACCGAAGUGCCAAGACAGCUAGUGGGGAAGGAGAAGACCCAGGGCUGGCAUCCAGCUCUUGCCAAUUCACUGCGGGAGCCUGGGCUAGCACUUUAUGGCCCUGGGACUCAGUCUCCCCACUGGUAAGCCAGGAACUGUGACCCCAGGUUACCUAAUUCACAGGUAUGAGUGUGUUCUGAGAAAAUACAAAUGCCAUUCAUUUCUUAUUGACUGAAAUCCAAGUCUAUUUCAAUAACUCGGCAACAUGGUCAAAUAUCAAAGACCCGAAUUUAGCAACUCCUAGAGUCAAAACAAACCCAGUGCCACACACACUCUGUCUUCUCCUCAGAACAAGGUAGUAGUAUUAAGCCCACAACCAACCUUGGAUUCUGUCCAGUGGGACCCAAAAGGGAGAAAUGAGCUUUACAUCUGCAGUUUUGGUGUGGUUUGAGACCUCGUCUGCAAAAAAGAAGUUACUUACCAGGGAGGAGGAGAAACAUUUUGGCGGAUACAAAAA